ensembl:rRNA 5S_rRNA 5S ribosomal RNA
GCUUACGGCCAUACCAGCCCAAGAACACCCAGGUCUCGUCUGAUCUCGGAAGCUAAGAAGGCUUGGGCCGUGUUAGUACUUGGAUGGGAGACCUCCUGGGAAUACCAGGUGCUGUAAGCU